CCCUUAGAUGUUCUGGGCCGCACGCGCGCUACACUGACGAAUGCAACGAGCUUAUAACCUUGGCCGAAAGGUCUGGGUAAUCUCCAAAUUUCGUCGUGAUGGGGAUAGAUUAUUGCAAUUAUUAAUCUUCAACGAGGAAUGCCUAGUAAGCGCAAGUCAUCAGCUUGCGUUGAUUACGUCCCUGCCCUUUGUACACACCGCCCGUCGCUCCUACCGAUUGAAUGGUCCGGUGAAGCGUUCGGACCGUGGCCUUUGGACGGUUCGCCGCCUGUUGGCUGCGGGAAGUUCGUUAAACCUUNUNAUUUAGNGGAAGGAGAANUCGUANCA
rnacentral:rRNA from 1 species